rnacentral:rRNA from 1 species
AUUGAACGCUGGCGGAAUGCUUUACACAUGCAAGUCGAACGGCAGCACGGGAGCUUGCUCCUGGUGGCGAGUGGCGAACGGGUGAGUAACAUAUCGGAACGUACCCCGUCGUGGGGGAUAACUCUCCGAAAGGAGUGCUAAUACCGCAUACGACCUGAGGGUGAAAGCGGGGGACCUGCAAGGGCCUCGCGCGAUGGGAGCGGCCGAUAUCGGAUUAGCUAGUUGGUGAGGUAAAGGCUCACCAAGGCGACGGAUCCGUAGCGGGUCUGAGAGGACGACCCGCCACACGUGGAACUGAGACACGGUCCAGACUCCUACGGGAGGCAGCAGGU